CCAGCCAUAAACCUUGAUAGUAAACAACCGACUAUCCGCCAGAGAACUACCAGCAAAAACUCAAAACUCAAAGGACUUGACGGUGUCCCAAACCAACCUAGAGGAGCCUGUCCUAUAAUCGAUACCCCACGCUCCACCCAACCUGCCCUCGCACCAACAGCCUAUAUACCGCCGUCCCCAGCCUACCUAAUGAUAGACACCCAGUAGGCACAAUAGUCAACAACUAACACGUCAGGUCAAGGUGUAGCUAAUGAGCAGGCAGAGAUGGGCUACAUUUUCUCCCCCAGAAAAAACCACCCGCGCCAUGAAACAGCCGCAAUUAAGGCGGAUUUAGCAGUAAGACCGGCAAGACCUCAAGCCGACCUGAAGCCACGCUCUGGGACGC
rnacentral:rRNA from 1 species